GUCCUCGUUAGGAAAAGUUGGGGCAACCUGUUGCUAGUCCGGUCGUUGGUGACAGCGAGGCUUCCGCGCUCGCUGCUGGUGGGCAGCCUCGGCGCGCCCCGCGGGCUGGAAGAGGCGGAGGCGUGAUGCGGCCCGUGGACGCGGAUGAGGCGCGAGAGCCCCGCGAGGACCCGGGGAGCCCAUUGAGCCCCGCGACCCGCGCCGGCCGCGAGAACCUGGCUUCCCUGGAACGCGAGCGCGCCCGGGCGCACUGGCGGGCCCGCAGGAAGCUGCUGGAGAUACAGAGCCUGCUCGACGCCAUCAAGAGCGAGGUGGAGGCGGAGGAGCGGGGCGCCCGGGCCCCAGCACCCAGUCCGCGCGCGGAGGCGGAGGAGCGGGUGGCUCGGCUGUGCGCCGAGGCGGAGAGGAAGGCCGCGGAGGCCGCGCGGAUGGGCAGGCGGAUCGUGGAGCUGCACCAGCGGAUCGCCGGCUGCGAGUGCUGCUGAGCCGGCGGGGCCGCGCGGGUCUGGAGCGGAGCCCGGCGGGGAGUGUCCCGCGUGGAAGGCGCUGGGUGGCCACCUGACGAACUGUGUUCAUCUGAUAAGGACUCCUGGCUGCUUGGACAGGCUCAAACCAAGAGAGCCUUUCGUUUUGUCUCCCCUGUUUUUCUGCCUGCGUUUUCUCCGCAUUAGCCACUCAAUUUCCAGUACCAUCCUGGUGGAUGACUUCAGCAUUAGAUGGUCAGGUGUAUCUUUUUAUUAAUAGGCGCAUUCAGUUUGGAAAAGACAGCUUUUCAUUAAUGUCCCGCGUAAAGGAAUAUGGCCUAUACAGUACGUACGCUGCGCGUGAUCAUAUUUGUUCCUGUGAUCUCGUUGUAUUUUCAGUUUGGAAAUAUACCCGUGUGCUUUGCUAUUUUUUUAUGCUUCCUGGAAUUUGGGGACUUAAUGAGACACUUGAGGUUAGAGUUCUGCAAGUGAGAAGACACCACAUGGUUGCAGCUGCCACAUCAAGAAGCCAAGCUCCUGUCAAAGUUGUGAAUGCGACUUUGGAUGAGAUUGAGAAGGCCCGGUGGACAGUUGGUCUUGAAGAGUGGCAGUGUGUGGAUUUGAGAACCUCUGCAGACCAUCAGAUCAAAGGAGGGAGAGCUGUUUUGGGUGUUGUGUUUUUUUUGUUUUUAUAGCAUUUUGCUUUUUCCUGGAAUGUAAUUUUCCUAUGGCAUGUUAACUGGUGCACAUCGUGUAACCUGUCUGGUGAGCAACCUACAAUUGGGAUGAGUUCUAGGUACAUGUGUUUGCUGACUUUGGGAUAAACAACUUUGUUAUAAUACAGUCUCUGCCACAGAUGCAUGUGACCUCUUCAGGGGCCCAGAGUGGCUGAGGAAGGAAAGCUUCAAGCUAGCCAUGGGGGUCCCAAACCGUCAUUCCAGGCUUAGAUGAUGUCUAGCCUAGGUCAUCAGAGCCCAGACUCCACAGAGACUAAAAUCAGAGCUCUGUCUUGUUAUGAUAAAGUUCAUUUGCUUGGAAAAACAAAUGCUGAAAGGCAGUUUUUAGAAUCUUUGUGCAGAUGACCAAAGCAAUUGACUUGGCCAAGAAAAGGUAAGAUAAAUAAACAUUUUUCAAAAUGA
rnacentral:lncRNA from 1 species